rnacentral:rRNA from 1 species
AACGAACGCUGGCGGCAGGCUUAACACAUGCAAGUCGAACGCAUCCUUCGGGGUGAGUGGCAGACGGGUGAGUAACGCGUGGGAACGUGCCCUUCAGUUCGGGAUAACCCAGGGAAACUUGGGCUAAUACCGGAUACGUGCGAGAGCAGAAAGAUUUAUCGCUGAAGGAUCGGCCCGCGUCUGAUUAGCUAGUUGGUGAGGUAAUGGCUCACCAAGGCGACGAUCUUUAGCUGGUCUGAGAGGAUGAUCAGCCAGACUGGGACUGAGACACGGCCCAGACUCCUACGGGAGGCAGCAGUAGGGAAUUUUCCACAAUGGGGGCAACCCUGAUGGAGCAACGCCGCGUGCAGGAUGAGGGCCUUUGGGUUGUAAACUGCUUUAUAUGUGACGAUAAUGACGGUAGCAUAUGAAUAAGGAUCGGCUAACUCCGUGCCAGCAGCCGCCGUAA